rnacentral:rRNA from 1 species
ACGGAGGAUCCAAGCGUUAUCCGGAUUUAUUGGGUUUAAAGGGUGCGUAGGCGGACCUUUAAGUCAGUGGUGAAAGUUUGUAGCUCAACUAUAAAAUUGCCAUUGAAACUGAAGGUCUUGAGUGUAAAUGAGGUAGGCGGAAUGUGUUGUGUAGCGGUGAAAUGCUUAGAUAUAACACAGAACACCAAUUGCGAAGGCAGCUUACUAGGAUACAACUGACGCUGAGGCACGAAAGCGUGGGGAUCAAACAGGAUUAGAUACCCUGGUAGUCCACGCAGUAAACGAUGAAUACUAGCUGUAUGCGAUAUACUGUAUGUGGCAAAGCGAAAGCGUUAAGUAUUCCACCUGGGGAGUACGUUCGCAAGAAUG